rnacentral:rRNA from 1 species
UACCAGACUCCUACGGGAGGCAGCAGUGGGGGAUAUUGCACAAUGGGGGGAACCCUGAUGCAGCGACGCCGCGUGAGCGAUGAAGUAUUUCGGUAUGUAAAGCUCUAUCAGCAGGGAAGAAGAUGACGGUACCUGACUAAGAAGCCCCGGCUAACUACGUGCCAGCAGCCGCGGUAAUACGUAGGGGGCAAGCGUUAUCCGGAUUUACUGGGUGUAAAGGGAGCGUAGACGGCGAUGCAAGCCUGGAGUGAAAGGCGGGGGCUCAACCCCCGGACUGCUUUGGGAACUGCAUGGCUGGAGUGUCGGAGAGGCAGGCGGAAUUCCUAGUGUAGCGGUGAAAUGCGUAGAUAUUAGGAGGAACACCAGUGGCGAAGGCGGCCUGCUGGACGAUGACUGACGUUGAGGCUCGAAAGCGUGGGGAGCAAACAGGAUUAGAUACCCCAGUA